rnacentral:misc_RNA from 1 species
UGCAGAUGGUGACUUCUUGAGGGAAGAAGGGGUGGAGUGGGCAACUCUUUGUUUUCAUGAUUGAAUCAUAUCUGUGUUAGUUGCCUGGAGGAAGAUGUGUUAGAUGAGCUGCCUUCACUGGAUUUCUUCCAUAAUGGUUUUGAUCUGCCAAGUUUGCAAAAGAAGCCUUGAUUAUUUUGGCUUUCACCCUUUUUUCCACAAGUACCACUUAAGAAUCUGUAAAUAACAUUCCUGCAAGAAUAUGUCUUGAAAGACUUGUAUUCAUGGAGCUGUAAAAUAAUGAAGAGAUGUAUUAGGUCCUUCAGUUUUUUUAUUUCAUGUAAAUGGAUACAUGUAUUAGGUCCUUUAGUUUCUUCUUGUUCUACAUCAGGUCAACAUCAUGUAAUGGUCUCCUUCAUUAUUUAUUUUGAUCAUUGAUCUUUUUUCUGUUUCAUCACUGAGCUUGUAAAAGUCUUGUACCAAUUGUGGGGACCAUAUUUGUACAUAUUUGAUGUUUUGUAAUUCCUCUUGUUAUGUCUCUGUGUUAGUUAGAAGGGUCAGAGAUGGGUUAAUAAUGCUUUGUAAUGAUGGGUGGAUAUCCCUACUCUAUUUUGGUCACUGUAAUACAUAUAAAACCCAAGUUUUAAGGACAUUCUUUCUGAAAAGUUGAAGGAUUUGAGAAGUUUCAUCAUUACAAUGUAAAUUUGGGGUCUACCUCACUAUUAGGAGCUAUGAGUAAAUGCUACAAUGUUGCAGAUGCGCGGGAACCAAAAAGAGUGUUGACUGUUUUGGGCUUGUUUAUCCC